UUUUGAACUUUUUGCUAUGAAACGCGGGAAUGAAAUAUCAAUUAUUACGAAGACAUGAUGUAAAACGAUAGGACAUGUAUUACGCGUACCUUUAACCAAUAAAUCGUAAAGAACAGACAUAAUAAUAAUCAAGUGAUUGAUAAUUAUCAUCUGUACUCAAGAAUGUUACGGGGCGAGAUCAAUCGUGAAAAUUAAUAACAGAGAAAUGAAAUAUUAAUUACUGCCAGGACUCGGUGUAAAAUAGCACGAUAUAAAUUAGCCGUAGCUUUAAGCAAUAAAUCACACGAAAUAACUAUAAUUGAUUAAGAACCAUUGUGUGUAACCAAGAGCGCCACGUAGCCAAAUCAAUCAUAGCAAUAAAUAUCAAGAGUUUUAAAAAACAAACCACCUGAAGAUUUCUCUUUAUAAAAUAUUACCACGAAAGAAAUAUUAAUUAUUACCAAGACGCGAUGUGAAAUAGUAAGGUGCGCAUUAAGCGUACUUUCAAGAAAUAAAACGCGACAAGCGGUCACGAUAAUUAAUUGAUUAAUAAUUACCGGUUUACCUGUAACCAAGAACACAUAAGCCAAAAUCGAUGCUGCAUAUUAAUACUCAGAACUUUCAAAGCACAACCAUCUCAAAUACACUACCAGGAAUGAAAUAUCAAAUAUUACGAAGACGAAGACCUAAAAUGAUAGGGUAAACCUACCGGUUAGGCCUACCGGAGCAGUAAACUCGCAAGAAAUAACUAUAAUAAUUAUCCGGUGGUAAAUAUUGAACGUUCUUGAAGGAUCGUUUAGAGACGAGUUCGCUGGUUUGCCAGGCUCACCGCGUGCAAUUAGAAAAUUCCUCCGAAAGGAUGUGCGACUUCCUGGGAAGAGCUGCCGACAAUUUUUAUCACAGUGGAAACCACUUAAGUAAUGCCACAGAUAAAACACUUUGCCCACGAGUACCGGUGUGUAACAGUUGUUUAUCCUCUUUGUAUCGAAACGGCGUAUUUCCAUGCUCUUUUAAGUACGUUUCUAAUGUGGACAACAGGAAACGAUGCCACGUACACGGGAAAAUCGUUUCAAUGAAAACAUUCUUGUGGAAAGACGAGUCUUAAACAGUUUCAAGAUGAUCGCGAAAAAAGAAAGUUUUGAUUUAAUUGGAGGGGAAGGAUUAAUUCUCGACAUUGAACUUGGAAUAUUCAGGAUUCUUUGGGCGAUGGCGACGAGAGCGCUACAGCACGGUUUUCGAAGCGGCGACCAGAUUCAAGGACUGCCUCGCUUCGCGAUGCAGAUCGAUCGAACCAGUCACGGUUGUAUACGGCGUCUACCGCAUCCUGUCAUUUUCGAAACCAACCACCCUUCAUCUUCAAGAAUCUUCAAAGCGUGAAUAAAAUCUUAAACGUGAUAUUUUUAUAUUUGUCGCGUUAAUCGAUAAAAAUAAAGAUAUCGAUCUGUUACAAAAAGAACUUGUUCGCUAAAAUUUUAGAAUAUUCCUCUUGAACUAGCUAAUAACCUCCUAAAUAUCACAUACGAGACUAUGGUUUUUAACAACUUCCAUCCGAAAGAGAUACUCGGACAACCUUCGCAAGUUACAGCUGUCAAGUUGACAGUUCUGUACUAACCAAACAUCAACACAUUUAUCCUGACCAAACUAACGAGAUUCA